GAACAAACCCCUCUGGCAGAAGCAGAGGCUAGAACUGCAACAGCACAUUCAGCUUUCUGGGAUGUAGUUAACAACUUUGCUCUCAGUUUCUUGGAGACCACUCCCUUGGGCAGCCCUACAAAACAAUUGAAAGUACUGGCAAUACACAUAAUGUGGCACUGUGGCCUUGCAUAUGCACAAUAUGCUCCUAGGCCAGCUUUUUAAUUCUAGUGUGGGGAAAAAGAGACAGCAGAGAUGAGGAGAUACCAAAACACUGUCUCACAACUGGUGGACUUCUCUGUAGUACUUCAACAUGAUGCUAGUGUUUAAACCCAGGAUAUCAAGAAGGCAUGCAUUCAAUCAGGUCAUGCCACUUUCCAGACACCAAGUUGCAGAUGCUACCAUGACUCCAUCCCAACCUCUCUGGGCAGACGACCUCUCCAAUGUAUCCUGGACCCUCGCAUCUCCAGAGCUCUGGUCCAUUAAGGAAAGAUAGAAACAAGCUGGGGGUAUAGAUCGAACUGUUGAUGCCCCUGUUCAGCGGAGAAGCAAUUACAGAAGCCAGAACUCCUACCUUCUGCUCCCCAAAAACAACCUUGAUCUAUAUUCCCAGCAGGGGAGAAGUGAUAGGAUGAAGAUAAGAGGGCUCUGCACUCCAGCUCCAUCAGCACCCAGAGAGAGAGAAGGAAAAGGAGAGGGACACAUGGAGGUAGUUAUGUUGUCAUGAGUGGCUUGAAGAGAGGAUUGAAUCAGAAAGGGGGGGGGCAUAAUUAUGUAAAAAUGUGGACAGAUAGUUGUAGAGAUGAUGGUUGGCCCAUGUCUACAACCUUAGGGGAACUGCGGUGGAUUGCAGUGGGGAGAGUGAUGAUUCAGAACUCUGGUGGUGGGAAUGGUGUGGAUUCAAACCCCUGUUGACAUGUAAUUCUGUAAUAUAAAAAUAAAAAAUAUAAAUACAUAAAUAAAGUACAAGUGGAAAAGUAGGGGUAGAGAGGAAGAGGAGGAGAAAGGAAAAACAAGGACUGACCAUAGCACUGACUUCUGAAAUCCAGAAGAUCCUGACACAUUUCAUGAGUUCAUUGGGAAUAGCUUUGAUGCCAGGCCUACCUACAUCAGCAACUGGAAGAGUAGUUCCCUAAUAAAUAUUUGUUGAAUUAAUUUAUAAUUGUUUCAAGCUUUCUGUUUACACAUAGGGCUCUAUUCUAUCUCACUAGCAAACGUGGUCUUCAAAACUAAGACAAAAAAUUAUCUAAGGAAAGUACCUAAAGAUACAGUGGCAUACUGUUUGUUUGUUUGUUUGUUUGUUUAUUUAUUUAUUUAUUUAAUAUUACCAGAGUACUAACUCAGUUCUGACUUAAUGGUGGUGCUGGCGACUGAACCUAGGACCUUUCAUAUCUUAAGAGGCUUUCUGCAUAAUCAUUAUGCUUCUCCCCAGCCCCGUAUUAUCUUUUAAAGGUUCAGAUUAAGACUGGUCUGGUCUUCUAAAGUGAAGAGACUAUACUGAUUAUAAUGGUAUGCUCUUCAAACAUUUCCCAGUGGUUGAGGAGAUAGUACAGUGGUAGCACACAGGACUUACAUGCUUAAGGCCCCAGAGUGCUAGGUUUAAUUCCAGCACCACCAUAUGCUAGAGGUCAGCAGUGAUCUGAUGUCUCUGUCUGUCUGCCUGUCUCAGCCAUACCACCUCUCUCUCUCUCUUUCCUUCUCUCAUAAAAAUAAAUAUUGGGGAGAUGUGAAACUAUCACUGUGACAACAAUUAUUCUGUAUCAAUACUUCCUCAAUAAAGUGAGUUUUCGAAGUAAAUAAAUUGA